rnacentral:rRNA from 1 species
GACGAACGCUGGCGGCGUGCUUAACACAUGCAAGUCGAACGGGUCUGCCCUGUUUUUUGCGGGGUGGGUCAGUGGCGAACGGGUGAGUAACACGUGAGUAACCUGCCCCUCACUUCUGGAUAACCGCUUGAAAGGGUGGCUAAUACGGGGUGUUCUGGCUGUGCCACAUGGUGUGGCUGGGAAAGAUUCACUUUUGUGGUGUUUUGGUGGGGGAUGGGCUCGCGGCCUAUCAGCUUGUUGGUGGGGUGAUGGCCUGCCAAGGCUUUGACGGGUAGCCGGCCUGGGAGGGUGGGCGGUCACACUGGGACUGAGAUACGGCCCAGACUCCUGCGGGAGGCAGCAGUGGGGGGUAUUGCACAAUGGGCGGAAGCCUGAUGCAGCGACGUCGCGUGAGGGAUGGAGGCCUUCGGGUUGUGAACCUCUUUCGCCGGUGAAGAAGGUCCUGCUCUUUGUGGUGGGGUUGACGGUAGCCGGGUUAUGAAGCGCCGGCUAACUACGUG